rnacentral:lncRNA from 1 species
CCGGCAAUGCUUUUUUUUUUCAAUAAUUUCUUUGCCGGGAGACUUCUCCUUGGCUCCCGGCAAAGAUUUUAUUUUAUUUUUUAACAAUUACUUUGCCGGGUGCCCUAGCUCUGGCACCCGACAAAUCUAGAAACCUGAAGCUGGCCUAUUUCCAGCUUUGCCGGGAGCCAUGGCUAGGGCACCUGGCAAAGCCUUUAUUUUUAGUAUUUUUUUAUUUUUUUGAUUCUGUAUUAACAAACAUAAUAUAACACAUAUUUAUAUCACCAACAGAACAUAUCACACAUCCAUCUCAUCAGAAACUCAAUCCGGCAUAUAUAUCACUUCACCAACACAUGAUCUCACAUGCAUACACGACAUCGCAAACAUAAUAGUUCCAAUAUCCAUCAUCACAAGUCGAUAGUCGUUCAUAGUGCAUCACAUGUCCAUCAAGUCGUGAAAAAGAGAAACAAACUAGAGGUGUGGGGGAAACUGAGUGCCCGGUGAAGGAAAAGCGCCGUCGCCGGCUUACGCGACCAAAGACCACAGACGGAUAAAGGGGUUAUACCUAGGGUGGCGGUGAGGUCCGGCUAGCGGGGCGGUGGAGAGCCGGUGCAGUGGAGAGUCGACGCGGUGCAGGAAGACCCGCAGUGCCGACGAAGACGAUCAGGGUCGUCGAGUCCCUUCCACAGGCCCUCCUGCAAAAAGGGCAAAAAUGGUUAGUGUCGACCCAAAAUUUCGGCAGCACCUCCCCUGCACGGAGAAGUUUCAAAACCUGCAAAAAAACAUGGCACGAAGGCCAACAACCACAUAUAGACUAAAUAUGGCACGAAGUCCAACAACCACAUAUAUAUACCAAACAUGGGCACGAAGGCCAACAUCCACCAAUAUAUCAAGAGGAGCCAUGUACUUUAGUUCUCUUUCUAUGCACAUGAAAAUAUUGAAGUAGUAUAACAAUAGUUACUACUAAACGUUCAACUACUACUAACACUACUAACUACACUACUAACACCACACUACAAGGGUAGAAUUUACCUUGACAGCAAAAAUGGCAAGAGCGAAGGCUGACGACGACGACGGGGAUGACUGC